GUGGUUAAAUCUGCAGAAAGCACAGGGUCUUCAGUUGUCAAUUCUGUGGUUACCUCAACAUCAAGCACAGGUAACAUCUGCAAAUGAGCUUUAACAGAGCUUUAAUCAAAAAUAUAUUUUUGAAUGUCAUUUAUU